rnacentral:rRNA from 1 species
ACCGUGGUAAUUCUAGAGCUAAUACAUGCUUAAACGCCCGACUUUAUGGAAGGGUGGUAUUUAUUAGACUGAAGCCAAUAUUCCUUGUGUCUAUUGCGGUGAUUCAUAAUAACUGAUCGAAUCUCUUUUUGAGAUAAAUCAUUCAAGUUUCUGCCCUAUCAGCUUUCGAUGGUAGUGUAUUGGACUACCAUGGCAGUAACGGGUAACGAAGAAUUAGGGUUCGAUUUCGGAGAGGGAGCAUGAGAAACGGCUACCACAUCUAAGGAAGGCAGCAGGCGCGUAAAUUACCCAAUCCUGACUCAGGGAGGUAGUGACAAGAAAUAGCAAACCGGGAACCUCAUGGUUUCACGGUAUUGCAAUGAGAACAAUUUAAAACCCUUAGCGAGAAUCAAGUGGAGGACAAGUCUGGUGCCAGCACCCGCGGUAAUUCCAGCUCCACUAGCGUAUAUUAAAGUUGUUGCAGUUAAAAAGCUCGUAGUUGAACCUCUGUCUGGGGCUAGUUUUGGCUUUGGUCAGGCUAGUUCUAGGCAUCCGCCUACAAGACUUAGAGGGCAUUCAGUUGUUCACUAGGAGGAGUAGGCAUUUUACUUUGAAAAAAUUAGAGUGUUUAAGGCAGGCAAUCGCCCGCAUAUAUUAGCAUGGAAUAAUAGAAUAGGACACUUUUCCAUUUCGUUGGUUAUUGGAAUCGUGUAAUGAUUAAUAGGGACAGUUGUGGGCAUUUGUAUUUAAUUGUCAGAGGUGAAAUUCUUGGAUUUAUUAAAGACAAACUAACGCGAAAGCAUUUGCCAAGGAUGUUUUCAUUAAUCAAGAACGAAAGUUAGGGGAUCAAAGACGAUCAGAUACCGUCCUAGUCUUAACUAUAAACUAUUCCGACUCAAUGUUUGACUGGCUUAUAUAACCAGUUGAGCGUUGUAUGAGAAAUCAAAGUCUUUAGGUUCUGGGGGGAGUAUGGUUGCAAAGCUGAAACUUAAAGGAAUUGACGGAAGAGCACAACCAGGAGUGGAUUCUGCGGCUUAAUUUGACUCAACACGGGGAAACUUACCAGGUUAAAACAAUAGUGGGAUUGACAGUUUGAGAGCGCUUUCUUGAUUGGUUGGGUGGCGGUGCAUGGCCGUUCUUAGUUGUGGAGUGAUUUGUCUGCUUAAUUGCGUUAACGAACGAGACCUUAACCUGCUUACUAGACUGGCGAUCAUCAAUCGUUAGCUCUUCUUAGAGGGACUUUGGUUGUUUUAACUCCAAGGAAGUUUGAGGCAAUAACAGGUCUGUGAUGCCCUUAGAUAUCCUGGGCCGCACGCGUCAUACAAUGACUA